AUAAUGAAGAUUGAUUGCAUUUGUAAUAAAAAAUAUAAUCAUUAUUUUUAGUUAUAUCUUAUGCUAAUUGAGGAAAAACAACUUGUACACACCUUUCUCUUCCUUCUGUCUCCUUUUUCUAAUAGCUAAAAAACUUGAAGAACCACUAAGUCUUGUGACAACAGUUUCAAAGUUGAAAUUUCUUCUAUAUGUGUGUGUGUGUGUGUGUGUGUGCGCGUGUGUGUGUGUGUAAACCAUCGAUGUCAAGGAAAAAUGGAGACUCACUCUGUUUUUCUCAAUACACAUUUCUGAGACUCAGGAAAGCUAAUGAAUCAAUCAUGAAAUAAGGAGAGCACAAAAUAAGACCAUGAGCUAUGCUUACUCUUAUAUUUCCCCCUGGACCUCAGAGAGCUGAAACAGUUAUGGGGGUUGUUUCUUUGCCAGUUUUCACUCUUUUCCUUCCUCUGGUUGCAAGACUGAGAAAUUCUCCAGCCCUGAGUCACAAGGAGGUGUGCAACACAAAGCCAUCUGGAAACUGUAUGAGUACAAAAGAAGUGAACCAGUUCCAUCAUGUUAGACAAGCAGGUUCCUGAAAGUCUGGCUUUAUUCCCACCAAAGUCAGUUCUUCAGCUGAAAACCUUCAACAACUGGCAGCUUGGAAGAGGACUUUAAGCUUCAGUUGACAUCAUGGCUCUGGGUCCCUGGGUUUCAUCCUGAUGGUAUUCUAAGAAGAGGACUCAGCUAACCUGUUCCUGGACUUCUGAUUCAUGGAAACGGAUGCCCUGCACUGUCUGAGGACUCCACACCGAGAAGACCCUAACCUAAUGUGACCCCUUCACCUCAAACUCCAAAAACCAGGAGCAAAAUCUCUAGUCUUUAAA